rnacentral:rRNA from 1 species
UACGGAGGGUGCAAGCGUUAUCCGGAAUCACUGGGUUUAAAGGGUGCGUAGGCGGCCUAAUAAGUCAGGGGUGAAAGGUGCCAGCUUAACUGGCGAAUUGCCUUUGAUACUGUUGGGCUUGAAUCGAGUUGAGGUUAGCGGAAUGUGACAUGUAGCGGUGAAAUGCAUAGAUAUGUCAUAGAACACCAAUUGCGAAGGCAGCUGGCUAGACUCGUAUUGACGCUGAGGCACGAAAGCGUGGGGAGCGAAC